rnacentral:rRNA from 1 species
UACGUAGGUGGCAAGCGUUGUUCGGAAUUACUGGGCGUAAAGCGCGCGUAGGCGGCUCUUCAAGUCAGACGUGAAAGCCCCGGGCUUAACUCGGGAACUGCGUUUGAUACUGUCGGGCUAGAGUGUGGAAGAGGCGAGUGGAAUUCCUGGUGUAGCGGUGAAAUGCGCAGAUAUCAGGAGGAACACCAAUUGCGAAGGCAGCUCGCUGGGACGUGACUGACGCUGAGACGCGAAAGCGUGGGGAGCAAACAGG